UACGGAAGGCAGCAGUGGGGAAUAUUGCACAAUGGGCGAAAGCCUGAUGCAGCUAUGCCGCGUGUAUGAAGAAGGCCUUAGGGUUGUAAAGUACUUUCAUCGGGGAGGAAAAACAAAACUAAUAAUUUUAUUUCUUGACGUUACCCGAAAAAGAAGCACCGGCUAACUCCGUGCCAGCAGCCGCGGUAAUACGGAGGGUGCUAGCGUUAAUCAGAAUUACUGGGCGUAAAGAGCACGUAGGUGGUUUUUUUAAGUCAGAUGUGAAAUCCCUGGGCUUAACCUAGGAACUGCAUUUUGAAACUGAAAUACUAGAGUAUCGUAGAGGGAGGUAGAAUUCUAGGUGUAGCGGUGAAAUGCGUAGAUAUCUGGAGGAAUACCUGUGGCGAAAGCGGCCUCCUAAACGAAUACUGACACUGAGGUGCGAAAGCGUGGGGAGCGAAACAGGGAUUAGAUACCCGU
rnacentral:rRNA from 1 species